GAUGAACGCUAGCGGCAGGCCUAAUACAUGCAAGUCGAACGAGAUUGAGGAGCUUGCUCCUCAUGAAAGUGGCGCACGGGUGCGUAACGCGUAUGCAAUCUACCUUAAUCAGGGGGAUAGCCCGGAGAAAUCCGGAUUAAUACCGCAUAACGUUAUUUUAUGGCAUCAUAGAAUAACCAAAUAUUUAUGGUAUUAAGAUGAGCAUGCGUGACAUUAGUUAGUUGGUGAGGUAACGGCUCACCAAGACUACGAUGUCUAGGGGAUCUGAGAGGAUGACCCCCCACACUGGUACUGAGACACGGACCAGACUCCUACGGGAGGCAGCAGUAAGGAAUAUUGGUCAAUGGGCGCAAGCCUGAACCAGCCAUGCCGCGUGCAGGAAGACGGCCCUAUGGGUUGUAAACUGCUUUUAUUCGGGAAUGAACCUCUUUACGUGUAAGGAGCUGAAUGUACCGAAGGAAUAAGGAUCGGCUAACUCCGUGCCAG
rnacentral:rRNA from 1 species